UGGCGCCGUGUAAACAUCUACCU
rnacentral:miRNA from 1 species